AGGGGUAAACCUGAGAAGCCCGAAAGGUCGAAGGGAGAAAUUCAAUCGCGUUUCGCCGUCGGCGUGAGACGGUCGUGUGACGGAGGACGUUCGCGUUUUCCGCACCUUCCGUUUUUCGAUCCGAUAGCGAACGCGUGCACUUUUCUCCUGGUAGGACGUCGCGAUCCGUUGGGUGUCGGUCUACGGCUCGCGGUGGAGCCCGGACGUACGGCUUGCCGUCACGUUCGGACCCGCGUGUCCCGGCUGACUCGCUCGACGGUAUACGAAAGGUUUAAGGCCGCUAUUUUUAGCGUUCGGCUCGUUGCAAGCGCGUCAGAUGUGUCGGCGAUCGGACCUAGUGCCGGUUCUGACCUCUGGCGACUGUUGGCCGCGAAGUUCUCGAACAGACCUUUAGACCGAUCUGCGACGCUAUAGCUUUGGGUACUUUCAGGACCCGUCUUGAAACACGGACCAAGGAGUCUAGCAUGUGCGCGAGUCAUUGGGAAUCACUAAACCUAAAGGCGCAAUGAAAGUAAAGGUCCGCCUUGCGCGGACUGAGGGAAGACGGGCGGUUUACCCUUAAAAGUGACCGCUCCGCAUUCCCGGGGCGUCUCAUUCUCAUCGCGAGAAGAGGCGCACCAAGAGCGUACACGCUGGGACCCGAAAGAUGGUGAACUAUGCCUGGUCAGGACGAAGUCAGGGGAAACCCUGAUGGAGGUCCGUAGCGAUUCUGACGUGCAAAUCGAUCGUCGGAACUGGGUAUAGGGGCGAAAGACUAAUCG
rnacentral:rRNA from 1 species